GGGACGGUGGCUCAGUGGUAGAGCGUUUGCCUUGCAUGCAUGAGGCCCGGGGGGGGGGGGGCGGGGUUCGACUCCUCAGUACCA
rnacentral:tRNA from 1 species